rnacentral:rRNA from 1 species
AGUAACACGUGAGUAACCUGCCCUUCACUUCUGGAUAACCGCUUGAAAGGGUGGCUAAUACGGGAUGUUUCUGGGUCUGUCGCAUGGCGGGUUCGGGAAAGAUGGCACUGUUUGGUGUUUUUGGUGGGGAUGGGCUCGCGGCCUAUCAGCUUGUUGGUGGGGUGAUGGCCUGCCAAGGCUUUGACGGGUAGCCGGCCUGAGAGGGUGGGCGGUCACACUGGGACUGAGAUACGGCCCAG